GGUGGGGGACGGUGGGCGGCAGCGGGGCUCGGCGUGGUUGUCCGCGCGGCCGGAGCCCCUUGUGCCCGUGCGGUGGCCGGAGUGCGCCGGCGCGACCCGCCUGGCCUUGGCUGCACGGCGACUGGGGCCGGGCUCCAGCUCUGUGGCUCCCGCCGGCGCCGACCCGGUGGCUCUGCUGUCUUGGCUGCAUCUCUCCUGCAUAUUUAUGAUCGUCUGUCACAUUCCCUGUCCGUGGACAGUGUCCAAAGCCUAGCUCGGGGGAGCGUGCCAACAGGCAUCACCUUUCCCUGAAUUCCAAAUCAAAGCAUUUUAGUCACUGAAGAGGCAGAAGAGGGUAAUGGCUCAUGAAGCUGCUUGUGUGAAAUUUGAAGUUCUAGAAGAUUCUGAAUAACUAUAAAUUCCAGGUUGGGGGGAGAUGCUAUCUGAUUUUCAGUCUGCGUGUCUGUCCUCUCCCCAGAAUUUCACAGGACCUAGAGUCACCCAGGAGAAAAACUAUGGCGCAUGUCUGUGAUGGGGGUUCUAGAGUGGGUUAAUUCAUGCAGAAGACCCAUUCUGUAACAUCUUUCCGUGGUCCGGGGCCCAGCCUGAAAAGGAGAAAGCAAGCCAAAUACCAGCGUUCACUGCUCUCUGCCUCUUGUCUGCUGAUGCAAUGCGAGCAGUUGCCUCAAACUCCUGAGACUGCCCUCGCCAGCCUCAAACUGGGAGCCAAAGAAAACUCUUCCAAUAAAGUUUGUCACUCUGAUGUCUUGCCACAGCAACGAGAAAAUUAACUAAUACAAUUCUCAAUGCCCAGCUGAGGAUAUAGCCAAGUGGAGAAUUGCUUAAGCAAAUUGAAAUGAAGACCUGGCCUGAAAAUUUUCCCUAGCUAACAGUCCCGUUCCACCUCGGAAAUAAGCUUACUGAAAUUGAAAACAUGAUCAAAACUUUGCCUUAUUAUUUGCAAAUGCUUAUGAUAUAGAAAAAAAUGUUAAGCUCUACCAGCCGAAAGCAUCAGCCUGACAUAACUUCAACACUCCAGGGAGUCUGCACUGGGAUGGACAAAAAAUAAAGUGGCUGUGGGACUAUUGCAGCCAGAUCCGUUCUUUCUUUCCAUGCUCACUUUGUGGAAGCUUGUCCCUGGGCUUCUCUGAUGAAGCCCCAAGCCCCUUCUGAAUUUGUCCUUCAGGAUCUGUGAAUUGUUG
rnacentral:lncRNA from 1 species